rnacentral:rRNA from 1 species
UACGGAGGGUGCGAGCGUUGUUCGGAAUUACUGGGCGUAAAGCGCGUGUAGGCGGCCUUCUAAGUCUGGUGUGAAAGCCCGGGGCUCAACCCCGGAAGUGCAUUGGAUACUGGGAGGCUGGAGUACCGGAGAGGAGGGUGGAAUUCCUGGUGUAGCGGUGAAAUGCGUAGAUAUCAGGAGGAACACCGGUGGCGAAGGCGGCCCUCUGGACGGAUACUGACGCUGAGACGCGAAAGCGUGGGGAGCAAACAGG